UACGUAGGGUGCAAGCGUUGUCCGGAAUUAUUGGGCGUAAAGAGCUUGUAGGCGGUUUGUCGCGUCUGCUGUGAAAUUUCGGGGCUCAACCCCGAACUUGCAGUGGGUACGGGCAGACUAGAGUGUGGUAGGGGAGACUGGGAUUCCUGGUGUAGCGGUGAAAUGCGCAGAUAUCAGGAGGAACACCGAUGGCGAAGGCAGGUCUCUGGGCCACUACUGACGCUGAGAAGCGAAAGCAUGGGGAGCGAACAGG
rnacentral:rRNA from 1 species